GAAUUUCUUUAUGUUGUCAGCUGAGGCAGAGGCAAGGCAAUUCCUGAACAAAAUAAAACAAACGAUACUAGAUCCUGUAUACGGCAGAACUGCAAAAGUAGAAAAUGUAUUUUCAAUAUUCUAGAAUGCGCUUCAGUUAAGGAAAUCAUUAUAAAAAUACAAUAUUUACCUAAUCUAGUAUUAUAAAGUUAAAAGACUUUAUCUCCUUAAAAUUGGAAUCGCAAGCACCUUUACCUCUCUUUUCAUAGAUACAGGCCAAGGGAUUUAAAUAAAAAAAGGUUGACCACAACAGUUUUUGGGCAAAAUCAAGAUAGUAUGUCAUACCAUACCCUCAUUCCAUCUCAACCUCAACUGUUCUUUCUGGAAUGAUGAGGAAUCUCUAUGGCUCCAGUAAGUCCCCAUACAUGAUUCUGUGCACAGAACCAUGUAUGAGGUAAGCUUGGACUUGAACCCAAACCUUCUGGUUCACAAGCCCGGUGUCCCGCCAUACCAGCUACUUGUUUAGGCUUUAAUUCCAAGCUACUUGUUUAAGUUCUUAUUCCAAGCUAUGUACUCAUUGUGAUUCCCUCAGUCUAUAGUCAUCCUCACACAUCAGUAUGGAAAAGAAAAUUAACCAGCUCACCCAAUGCCAAGCUCAAAAUUUUGGUCCUGCUUAUUUAGAAAAAAGCCUGCUUAAUAAUCAAACAAUUUAGAAUAAUACCUGGAAGAGCGAGGGCAUUGGAAGGUGCUGAAGAUUGAUUGUCAGGAUUGGUUGCAGUAGAAUUAACUGAUCUUGGAAGUUCAUUUGUGCUUUUAAUUCCUUACUCGGCAUUUAUCCACAUAGUGAAUUCAAAUGCCAUUAUAACUUAUCACACACCCGCUUCAUGCCAAGCUAAUCCUAACAACAAAACUAAACCCAAUUUAAAUAAAUCAAAGCUAGUUCACUGACCUUGUGGCUAAAGCGAAUUCUAUUACUGCAUCAGGACGAUAAAAAAAAU
rnacentral:misc_RNA from 1 species